GAUGCACCUCAGCCACAUCAUUUACAGACAAUAUUUCUCGAUUGUAGAAGGAUUUAUCAGCGAAAAAUCACCUUAAUUCGUCACGAAUUAUGGUCUCGAGAGGUUUAGUUUCAUUUUCCUCUUUACUCCAAAGAGUGACAUCAGGGGUUGCUGUAGGCCCAGCGCGAUAUCUUUACGCGUCAAAUGCGAGGCCGCUAACCUUUCGUCCUGUUUCAUAUGUUUUGGGAGAGCGGAUGAGCAGUUCGUCAACAGAGAGUGGAAUACCCAUGAUGCAUCAUGUGUCAGCUGUUGACAGAUUCACUUUGAUUGCUACAAGAACCAUGAAACCACCAAUACCAGCUGAAGUCACUGCAGCCACCAUGGAAAGAGCAAAUAGUAGACGACGCAUUGGAGUGAAUGGAAUCAUGAUUAUUAUGACUCUUACUGCAUGUAUUUACAUCAUAAAAAGUUCCCAGAAGGGUAGAGAGGAGCAAACAUUGGUAUCACUGCAUGAAGUCAAUAUGCAAAGAUAUGAGAAGCUCAGACAAGAAGAUGCAGAGGCAGCUGCUGCUGCUACAGCUAAGGCCAACAGUGGAAAGUAGCAGGAGUUGAACUUAGAGCUUUUCCUUCGUAAAACUCAAACCUGACCAAGUUUUAAUAUAGUUUUAUCCACUAUUAGUGUUAAUGUGUAGAACAUGUUAUCCCUAGUUUCCAUAUAAUUUUUUUCAAAUUGUUGUGCUAAUUAGCAAUUGUAUUACUCACUGAAGUGGAGAUGGCUGAAGUGGUGGAUAUUUACCAAGUGGUCAAGCAGCCAGUUAAAUAUCUGCUACUAUACACUGGCUCUUAAGUAAAUAGUUGAUUUAGUAUAUACUAAAAACAAUAGAUAAUAUAGCAGAAAAAAAUGAUUUUAACCCAUUCAAUCCUGCAAUGGUUACGGUAUUUUCAGGUGCAAAUCCCGUAUGCAUUGAUGGGAGCUGAAUAGCACAGAAUAUCAGGGGUUUGGUUAGCUAAUCAGAGCAGGCUUUUAAUGCUACCCACUGUUUUAAUAUACAGCCAAACUGUAAGAAGCUUCAUAUCAAUCUACCAAAGUACUUUUGCCCACGUCCCUUUUUAAAGUUCUCAAUGAGAUCUUGUCACGUGCUUAACCAUCAUCUCCAUAGUGCUACGAUAGCUGAUCAACAUAUCUUUUUUCGUGGAAGGUUGCAGACGGAAUCGUGAUACAAUCGAAUAUCAUAACAAACACUUCACCCGCAUGAAAUCGAUACAUAGUGACAAGAUUAGACCAUUAUUUGAUAAGCAGUCUUUUUAAUUUUUCACAAUUUCCUUUGUGAUCCGAUCCGAUUUCGGAUUUUGUCCACGCCGGUUGUGUAUGUUUCAAAAACACCAACCAUGUACGGUGUAAACAGUGUUUUUGAGAGGAAAGGAGUGACUCGGUUGUUUGUCCCUUUCCCAGAAUUACUAAAGUAUGCGCUUAAUAUUGAUUGAAGUUUGUACAACUUAUGCACGGAAUAAUUUAUUAUAAAUUAGAGAAUUGUACAAAGGUGUCAAUAAUUUAAAAAACUCGUGUGAAACUUCUAAA